UGGGGAAUAUUGCGCAAUGGGCGAAAGCCUGACCCAGCAACGCCGCGUGAAGGAUGAAGUAUUUCGGUAUGUAAACUUCGAAAGAAUAGGAAGAAUAAAUGACGGUACUAUUUAUAAGGUCCGGCUAACUACGUGCCAGCAGCCGCGGUAAUACGUAGGGACCAAGCGUUGUUCGGAUUUACUGGGCGUAAAGGGCGCGUAGGCGGCAAUUCAAGUCAUCUGUGAAAUCUCCGGGCUUAACUCGGAACGGUCAGAUGAUACUGCUUUGCUAGAGUGCAGAAGGGGCAAUCGGAAUUCUUGGUGUAGCGGUGAAAUGCGUAGAUAUCAAGAGGAACACCUGAGGUGAAGACGGGUUGCUGGGCUGACACUGACGCUGAGGCGCGAAAGCCAGGGGAGCAAACGGGAUUAGAUACCCACGUAGUCCCUGAGCGGGCUGGCAAGGCGCAU
rnacentral:rRNA from 1 species